GAUGAAGAACGCAGCGAAAUGCGAUAAGUAGUGUGAAUUGCAGAAUUCAGUGAAUCAUCGAAUCUUUGAACGCACAUUGCGCCUCCUGGCAUUCCGGGAGGCAUGCCUGUUCGAGCGUCAUCAAACCCCAUCGUGCAAAUGAAUUAUUUUUUUUGCGCGGAAGUGACGAUUGAGCGAGAAUAACAAAUCCUCUCGCACCUCGUCGAAAUGAUUGCGGGCGGAAUUUGGGAUCGGGUUCCUCGGCGUAGUGUAUCAAUGCAUAUUUAUGCAACUUGCCGCGGAGUUGAGCCUGACCCACGCGUUCUCGCCGUACAAACACCUCAUUACUUUACAAGUUUUUGACCUCGGAUCAGGUAGGGAUACCCGCUGAACUUAAGCAUAUCAAUAAGCGGAGGA
rnacentral:misc_RNA from 1 species